rnacentral:rRNA from 1 species
GCAUAUCAAUAAGCGGAGGAAAAGAAACCAACAGGGAUUGCCCUAGUAACGGCGAGUGAAGCGGCAACAGCUCAAAUUUGAAAUCUGGCUCUUUUAGAGUCCGAGUUGUAAUUUGCAGAGGGCGCUUUGGCUUUGGCAGCGGUCCAAGUUUCCUUGGAACAGGACGUCACAGAGGGUGAGAAUCCCGUACGUGGUCGCUAGCUAUUGCCGUGUAAAGCCCCUUCGACGAGUCGAGUUGUUUGGGAAUGCAGCUCUAAAUGGGAGGUAAAUUUCUUCUAAAGCUAAAUAUUGGCCAGAGACCGAUAGCGCACAAGUAGAGUGAUCGAAAGAUGAAAAGCACUUUGGAAAGAGAGUCAAACAGCACGUGAAAUUGUUGAAAGGGAAGCGCUUGCAGCCAGACUUGCUUGCAGUUGCUCAUCCGGGCUUUUGCCCGGUGCACUCUUCUGCAGGCAGGCCAGCAUCAGUUUGGGCGGUGGGAUAAAGGUCUCUGUCACGUUCCUUCCUUCGGGUUGGCCAUAUAGGGGAGACGUCAUACCACCAGCCUGGACUGAGGUCCGCGCAUCUGCUAGGAUGCUGGCGUAAUGGCUGUAAGCGGCCCGUCUUGAAACACGGACCAAGGAGUCUAACAUCUAUGCGAGUGUUUGGGUGUCAAGCCCGAACGCGUAAUGAAAGUGAACGGAGGUGGGAACCCGCAAGGGUGCACCAUCGACCGAUCCUGAAGUUUACGGAAGGAUUUGAGUAAGAGCAUGGCUGUUGGGACCCGAAAGAUGGUGAACUAUGCUUGAAUAGGGUGAAGCCAGAGGAAACUCUGGUGGAGGCUCGCAGCGGUUCUGACGUGCAAAUCGAUCGUCAAAUUUGGGGCAUAGGGGCGAAAGACUAAUCGAACUAUCUAGUAGCUGGGUUCCUGCCGAG